GGGGUCUUGGUUUUGCUGGACGCUCCUCCUUGUGUUGGUGUGGUCCAAAGGAACCACGAUUUUGAAUUCAGCUACAUUCUUUCUGAUGCCUCACCAACCUUCCCUGAAGUAAAGCUGCUCUUCCCGCAAAUAGGAAUGCAGCAGAAGUGUCAUUGUGUCAGUUCUUGGGAAGGCUGGAAGCCUCACAUUGGUGCUAUUGUAACCCAACUGCUGUGCUGUAAGGAAGACCAAGCCGGCCUGCAGAGAGAGGCUACGUGGGGAGGCCUAGAAGGACAAAACACAAAGUAGGGAAACAGAGGCCUUGUGGGGCAUAGGAGCUGAGGCAUUCCAGCCCCUAGAUGAAGGAUAUCUUUUUAUUGAUGUUCAGAGAGAGAAAAAGAGAGAGAGAGAGAAACAUUGAUCGGUUGGCUUCUAUACAUGCCCUGGCCAAGGAUUGAAACUGCAACCUAGGUUCUGUGACUGGGAAUGAAAGCUGCAAACUUUUGAUGUAUGGGAUGAUGCUCCAACCAACUGAAUCA